UAGCGAAGUAGCUGAUUUCACACUGUCAAGAAAAGUCUCUAUCGAGGUUAAAGGUACCCGUACCGCAAACCGACACAGGUGGGUGAGGAGAGUAUCCGAAGGCCAGCGAGAGAACUGUUGUGAAGGAACUCGGCAAAAUGACCCCGUAACUUAGGGAUAAGGGGUGCAACCAUCAGGUGGCCGCAGAGAAUAGGCCCAAGCGACUGUUUACCAAAAACAUAGGUUUCUGCUAAGUCGAAAGACGAUGUAUAGGAGCUGACGCCUGCCCGGUGCUGGAAGGUUAAGGGGAUCUGUUAGAGCAAUCGAAGCAGUGAACUUAAGCCCCAGUAAACGGCGGCCGUAACUAUAACGGUCCUAAGGUAGCG
rnacentral:rRNA from 1 species